AGAAUUUUAGAUCUAGUGAGGAUUUCUAAGAUUUCUUGUAAUCUAUUAAUUGGAUUAAAAUAAAAGUUAUAUAUAUGAGUAAAAUACUUAUAUUUUUUUGUAUAUGAGAAUUUUAAAAUCAAUUAAAUGGUACAAAAGAGAGAUGUUAAUACUAGAAGAUCAACAUCAAGGAUAGAGAAGAAGGUUGGCUAACAUCUAAAUAGAUUUUAGGAUUUUUCUUUCAUUUGAUAAAUACGAUUGUCUUGAAAUUUGUUAUACUUGUUUGUAAUUAAGAGAUUAAAAGAUGAGUAAAAUUUUAAAUAAUAUCAAAAAUUUAAUUAAAAGAUAUCAAAGUUCUAAACUAUCUUUGGAUUUGAUUUAGGAUUUAGGAUUUAGUCAGGAUUUGUUUUAGGAUUUGGGAUUUGUCUAGGAUUUGAUUUAGAGUUUAAAAUUUGAUUAGGAUUUGCUUUAGGGUUUGGUUUAGGAUUUAGAAUUUGGUCAAAGUUUGGUAAGGAUUUGGAAUUUGUCUAGACUUUAGUUAGAAUUUGAUGUAAGAUUUAUGAUUUAUCUAGGAUUUGAUUAAAGAUUAAAGAUUUAUUUAGAAUUUGAUUUAAGAUUUAGGAUUUAACUAGGGUUGAAUUUAAAGUUUAGGGUUUGUCUAAGAUUUGGUUUAGAACUUAAGAUUUGUUUGAGGUUUGAUUUAGGAUUUAAGAUUUUUUUGGGUUUUGAUGAAAAUUCAUUAAGAUUUCAACUAAGAUUAAAUUAGAAUUUGAUUGAGAUUUAUUUAAGAUAUAUUGUGAUUAUUUUAAUAUUUUUAAGGACUUCUUAAGGAUUCUUUUAAGGUUUAUUGUGAUUUAUCUUUUAAUUCCUUUAAGUUUUUUUAUUGUUUCUUUUAUAAUU
rnacentral:lncRNA from 1 species